UUUCAGAGGCAAGACACAGUCCUCUAACAUGGGAGUCCAAAUAGCUAAGUAUUUUCCUAGUUUGGUUUACUUUUUUAUUGUUAAUGUUUUUUUUCUUCCUUUUUAGGCACAUGUUAAGCACAUGUUGCAGAGGUUGUUGCUGUUUUAUAUCGAUGCAUCAUCGGGAAUUUAAGUUGUCUUGAAAGCUCCAUAAAUCCAGAGAAUGCCAGAUAUUGAUGACAAAGGUUGAUGACAAAAUCUGCCCACAAAGGAUCCGCCGCACCACCUUCCUGUUCAAGUGAGGACAGCACAACAAGGAAUUGGUGCUUGGAGUUCGUUGGUCCUCGACCUGACUUGAGGUCGGCGGGUGAAUUCAGAUUGAACCAUUGGAAAGAUGAUACCCCAAAUUAUUAUUUUCGGAUAUACAGACUACGCUGUAGUCAACAAAAAAUGGAUUGCAACUUGCAAAACGUGUGGGAAGACAAUUACAGAUGGAGGCAUAACAACUUUCAACUUUGUUCGACAUUUGAAGCUACACAAAGAACGAUUUGAACAAUACCAGAUGAACAAAAGUGUCACAAGUGAACCACAACAGUCUCCAAUCUCACAGUUCAUGGAGACCCAUGAAUCAUCCACAGCAGAAAGCUAUCAACAAUGCAAUACUGUCCGACCUGGUUAUCGAUUGCAACUUGCCUCUGACGAAAACUCUUGUUUUCCACAAUAGACACUUUCUGCCAGUGGUUGACAGUAAGUACAGCCCAGUGUGUCGUAGAACAUUGGCAUCAAAAAUAGAGAACCUCGCUACAGAGAGACGUUCAAAACUGAAAACUCAGUUGAGCAAGACAGACCAUGUUUCAGUCACAGUGGACAUUUGGUCCGACCGAAAGAUGAGGGGCUUCCUUGGUGUCACUGUGCACUGUAUGGAGAAAGAUGGAGAGAGGAUAAGGCUCAAGUCCAAUCUCUUGGCCUGUGACCACUUCAAAGGCCCACACACAGCCGAAAGAAUCUGUGAGCAAUUUGAGGCCAUAUGUGGUGAGUACAACAUUAAAGAUAAAUUGGACUAUAUCAUUAGUGACAAUGCUGCCAACAUGAGAAAAGCAUUCACGGUGUGAUUCCCCAUUGAACAAGAAGAUGAAGUACAUGAUGAAGAUCACCUUGAUGACCCAGAGCUCUGGAAUGACCUAACCCUGGAAGACCAGCAAACAGUGGAUGCUGCUAUUGCAAAAAACAGAGCUUGCAGUGUUUUGCCCACACUCUCCAGCUGGUGGUGGGAGAUGGAAAGAAACAAAAGUGAUGACUCCUUCUCUUUCAAAGCUAUCAAAAAUCAGCUCACUGCUACAUACAAGCACAACAUUCAAAGAGGUGUUUGAGGCUGAAUUUGGGGAAAGAGGCAUCCCUUCUGCUGUCAACACAAGAUGGAACUCAACACUGAGACAAGUGAAGGCAGUUACCCAAUGUGAUCAUCUUAAGCUCAGUCAUGUUCUACAAAAGGCUGGGCACAAGGAGUUGUUGUUCACAGUACGGGAGUGGAAUAAGUUGAAGGAGUUGGUGGACAUCCUGAAGCCAUUUGGAGAAGCAACAGAUACAGUAUGACACAAGGGGAGAAGAUAGUCACAAUCAGUUCUGUUGUUCCCUCGGUUCUGUCCCUGAAUCACCACCUGGAGCAGCGGAAGCCUCAAGUCCAUUUCCUGAGCGGCCUGGUCAGAAGUCUCCAGGCAUCCCUGAACAAAAGAUUUCUUGGAAUCUUCAUCAAUGUGAAAAUGGCCAGGACACAAGAUGGAAUCACUGCCCCCUUUUCAGAUCCAGUCACCUCAAUGCAGCUGCCUUGGAUCCGGAAUUUUCUCUGAUGUGGGUGGAGCACCAUGUGCUGGUCAAGGAGGAGGUCAAGGAGGAGUUGGCACAAAGAGUGAAAGAACUGAUUCUGCAAGAUGCUACAGGGACUGAGCAAGCUGUGCCUCUUGUUGAUGAGGAAGAGUGAGAGGAACGUAGUCUUGGACAAGAAGAAGGGCUGUUUGCAGCAUACUGUAAGAGGCAGAAGAAAGCUGUUGGGACCACUCCAGCACUACAGCUAAGUCACUACCUUGACAUAUGCGAAGGAUAGAAUGCCCUCUUGUUCUGGGCAAUGAACAGGAAGGCUCUUCCUUCACUGACCUGAGUGGCCAUCAGGGUCUUGGCAGUGCCUGCCUCCAGUGCUCCGGUGGAGCGUGUCUUCAGCCAUGGUGGCAUCAUACUGCGGCCUCAUCGUGCACAAAUGACUGACAGACUUUUAUCGAAUUUGGUCUUUAUCUGAGAUAAGAGAAACAUUUUUACUGUUUAUGCAUUACACACACACAUGUAGUCUCCAUGUUCAAGUUUUAUCUCCCAUCUUUGGGAUCUGUAUUUUUUUUCAGACAUUCAGGCCAGUGUUCAAAUUGUAGGCCUACUUGAAGUUCAGUAUCAGUUGUUUUGAUGUACCUUUAAAUAAAUGAUUAACUUUAUGGCAGGAUUGUUUUAGGUGUCUAGAGUAUAUCCGGAGAGAGAGAGAGCACUACAAUAUUUUGUUUUUGUUGUCAUAUUGAUGUUUCUUUCUCAUGGCUACCCAUGUAUAUCC